rnacentral:rRNA from 2 species
UAGGGAAUAUUGCACAAUGGGGGAAACCCUGAUGCAGCAACGCCGCGUGAGUGAUGAAGGCUCUCGGGUUGUAAAGCUCUGUUCUUGGGGAACAAAAAAAUGAGUGUACCCAAGGAGAAAGGACCGGCUAACUUCGUGCCAGCAGCCGCGGUAAGACGAGGGGUCCGAGCGUUGUCCGGAUUUAUUGGGCGUAAAGAGGGUGUAGGUGGCCUUACAAGUCAGAAGUGAAAGCCUUGGGCUUAACCCAAGAAGUGCUUUUGAUACUGUAGGGCUUGAGUGCGGAAGAGGGCAGUAGAAUUCCUGGUGUAGCGGUGAAAUGCGUAGAUAUCAGGAGGAAUACCGGAGGCGAAGGCGUCUGCCUGGUCCGACACUGACGCUGAGACCCGAAAGCGUGGGGAGCAAACAGG